rnacentral:rRNA from 1 species
CCCUUAGAUGUUCUGGGCUGCACACGUGCUACACUGGCAGGUUCAGCGAGCUUCAUGCCCUGAUCUGAAAGGAAUGGGAAAUCUUUUCAAAACCUGCCGUGCUUGGGAUAGAUGUUUGCAAUCAUUCAUCUUCAACGAGGAUUGCCUUGUAAGCGCACGUCAUCAGCGUGCAUUGAAUACGACCCUGUAUUCUGUACACACCGCCCGUCGCUCCUACCGAUUGAAGUUUUCGGUGAGUUGACAGGAGGAUUUUUUUGAAACUGGUUCGCCAGUGGAUUUUAGAUCCAAAUGCCAACGAAUCGAUGGCUUUAGAGGAAGGAGAAGUCGUAACA